GACGUCUUGAAUGGCCGGACUGGUGCCGAGAAUACUGUCAAACGUAUAGGUUGUGCUGCCUUUUUUGUUCAUAUUCU
rnacentral:tRNA from 1 species